AUACCUGCCCAGUGCGACAUAUUACUGUAAACGGCCGCCCUAGCGUGAGGGUGCUAAGGUAGCGAAAUUCCUUGCCUUUUAAUUGUAGGCCUGCAUGAAUGGUUUAACGAGGGUUAAGCUGUCUCUAAGUUUAUAAGUUGAAAUUGUAUUAAAGGUGAAGAUACCUUUAUUUUGAAGUUAGACAAAAAGACCCCGUGCAACUUUGAAAAUUAGCUUUAUUAAAAGGUGAGAGAUUUUUAGGUGGGGCGCCUAGAGAGCUAGUUCUAACCUCUUUUACUGAGUUAUUAAAACUUUCAAGUCUUGACCCGGUUACACCCGAUCAUAGGAGAAGUUACGCCGGGGAUAACAGGCUAAUCCUUUAGUAGAGCUCGUAUUGGCUAAAGGGAUUGGCACCUCGAUGUUGAAUCAGGGAUGAUACCUUGAGGCGUAGAAGCUCGAGAGUGGGUCUGUUCGACCUUUAAUACCCUACGUGAUCUGAGUUCAGACCGGA
rnacentral:rRNA from 1 species